CCUGGAAACUCCAAAGGAAAUUGACGGGGGCCCGCACAACCGGUGGAGCAUGUGGUUUAAUUCGAAGCAACGCGAAGAACCUUACCAGGUCUUGACAUCCCACUGACCGGUGUAGAGAUACACUUUUCCCUUCGGGGACAGUGGUGACAGGUGGUGCAUGGUUGUCGUCAGCUCGUGUCGUGAGAUGUUGGGUUAAGUCCCGCAACGAGCGCAACCCUUGAUCUUAGUUGCCAGCAUUUAGUUGGGCACUCUAAGGUGACUGCCGGUGACAAACCGGAGGAAGGUGGGGAUGACGUCAAAUCAUCAUGCCCCUUAUGACCUGGGCUACACACGUGCUACAAUGGACGGUACAAAGGGCUGCCAACCCGCGAGGGGGAGCCAAUCCCAGAAAACCGUUCUCAGUUCGGAUUGUAGGCUGCAACUCGCCUGCAUGAAGCCGGAAUCGCUAGUAAUCGUGGAUCAGCAUGCCACGGUGAAUACGUUCCCGGGCCUUGUACACACCGCCCGUCACACCACGAGAGUUUGUAACACCCGAAGUCGGUGAGGUAACCCUUGUGGAGCCAGCCGCCGAAGGUGGGCACCGACGAUUGGGGCUGAAGUCGUAACAAGGUAGCCGUAUCGGAAGGUGCGGCUGGAUCACCU
rnacentral:rRNA from 1 species